AGUGAACGCUGGCGGUAGGCCUAACACAUGCAAGUCGAACGGCAGCACAAUAAGAGCUUGCUCUUACGGGUGGCGAGUGGCGGACGGGUGAGGAAUACAUCGGAAUCUACUUUUUCGUGGGGGAUAACGUAGGGAAACUUACGCUAAUACCGCAUACGACCUACGGGUGAAAGCAUGGGAUCUUCGGACCUUGCGCGAUUGAAUGAGCCGAUGUCGGAUUAGCUAGUUGGCGGGGUAAAGGCCCACCAAGGCGACGAUCCGUAGCUGGUCUGAGAGGAUGAUCAGCCACACUGGAACUGAGACACGGUCCAGACUCCUACGGGAGGCAGCAGUGGGGAAUAUUGGACAAUGGGCGCAAGCCUGAUCCAGCCAUACCGCGUGGGUGAAGAAGGCCUUCGGGUUGUAAAGCCCUUUUGUUGGGAAAGAAAAGCAGCAGGUUAAUACCCCGCUGUUCUGACGGUACCCAAAGAAUAAGCACCGGCUAACUUCGUG
rnacentral:rRNA from 1 species